AUGUUGAACUGGAAUAGACUAAUAGUUAUACUGCUAUUAUUUUUAUUAUUAUUAUUAUUAUUAUAUAGCUUAUAUUUAUGUAUACUGAUGAGAUACAGGAUACUGAUAUAUAUUAACUGCUGUUUUCCCUUUGAAAACUUAGUAUUAACAAUAUACCGUCUUAUUUUACUGCGUGUGCGUGUGUGUGUGUGUGUGUGUGUGGUGUCGUUCUUGACAGAUUGCUUUAAUGAAUCAGUUACUUAUAACACAAGCCUUAUCUGUGCCUCUAAAAAUACAGAAAACAAAAUAACUGUUGGCAGGGAAACGAGAUGUGCUGUAUUCAACAAGGCAAGUCCNNNNNNNNNNNNNNGUGUGUGUGUGUGUGUGAUUCUGUCCCCUAGCCGGAGAGGAUCAACCCAGAGACUAAUCAGAAAGGCUACAAUGUCAAGUCUGACAUAUGGAGUUUAGGAAUCACUAUGGUGAGUCUCUAUUUUAUAUCAUUUUUUAUUAUUAAUAUUUAUGCAGAUUUAAUUUAUUAUAACAACAUUGUUAUGUGAUUAUUACACUAGUAGGUCUAUUUAAAAAAAAAAAAAAAAAAAAAUCUACAUUAAACUAGCAACCUCUGAUACCGUAAGGUCAGGUAUAGUAACUACAGAUAAAUCAUUGUAUUUUAUUUUUCCUGAAUGAUGUCUUCACUAUAUAACCAGUACGUCAUUGCCAGUAAUAGCCUUGUGAGCAGAUAAGAGUUCUAUUGAAUUGAAAUGCAUUUUGCUGUUCAUAUAAAACAGGUUCUUCAUGUUCAAGAAAAAGCCCUGCCUUCUCUGUGAGACACGAUGACACACUACAGCUCUGCUCUAGACUAACUGGUGUCUAGACAUUUUAUUAGGAGAGUUGUUACAUAUUCCUAGCUCUCAUUUGCACGUCCUGAACUGUGUCACACCCAAAGAACAGUUUUGGUUUUUAAAAUAAAUUUGAUAGUCCUCCCCUACUGCCUAUGGUAGUUUUCAGUAAUGUAACACUGCCCAGGGUCAUAAUAAACCACCCAAUUGCACACUUGUAUGUACAUCUUAUUUCCAUUUUCUGCAUUUUAUGUACAGUAAUACAAUGGUGCCUGACCUCUAUUCCCUGUCAUAUCAUGUGCCCCCUUCUUCAGAUUGAACUGGCCAUCCUGCGGUUCCCCUAUGACUCCUGGNNNNNNNNNNGGUUAUGGUUACGUGUUAAGGUUAGGGUUAGUAUGAGAGGUUUGGGUUAUGGUUACGUGUUAAGGUUAGGGUUAGUAUGAGAGGUUUGGGUUAUGGUUACGUGUUAAGGUUAGGGUUAGUAUGAGAGGUUUGGGUUAUGGUUACGUGUUAAGGUUAGGGUUAGUAUGAGAGGUUUGGGUUAUGGUUACGUGUUAAGGUUAGGGUUAGUAUGAGAGGUUAGGGUUAUGGUUACGUGUUAAGGUUAGGGUUAGUAUGAGAGGUUUGGGUUAUGGUUACGUGUUAAGGUUAGGGUUAGUAUGAGAGGUUUGGGUUAUGGUUACGUGUUAAGGUUAGGGUUAGUAUGAGAGGUUUGGGUUAUGGUUACGUGUUAAGGUUAGGGUUAGUAUGAGAGGUUUGGGUUAUGGUUACGUGUUAAGGUUAGGGUUAGUAUGAGAGGUUUGGGUUAUGGUUAUGUGUUAAGGUUAGGGUUAGCUCUUAGGGAAAAUAGGAUUUUGAAUGGAAAUACAUUUUAGGUCCCCAUGAGGAUUGAAGAACAUAAGAUGUGUGUGUGNNNNNNNNNNGUCGGUUAUUAAUUUUAAAAAGUCACAGGUCACAGGUCACAGGUAGGGAUGAGUCAUUGUCUGAAAAGUGGAAAGCUAAGAAUCAUAGGAUGCUGUUUUUGUCGCCAUCGUCCUCAUCCUCUUCCUUCUCAUGGCUGAUAAAACCAGUGACAUGAUGACUUCCCAUCCAAACUGGAAAUGAAAACGUCUUUGUCAGUUUGUACUUUCCCCAUUGUUAAUGUUAGUUUCUGGAAUACAGCUGUUGUCUUCGCUACUCUUUUCAGAAGCUGUACGUUUAGUCGAAUUGCUGUUCUAUUAUGCAUUUACCAGACUAUAUCAAGUGUAAAUGUGUUGUGUUUGUGAAGUGUGUGAAAACGAUGCUUUUGUUUUCACACAUUAUUGCAAAAAUAUUUUUGCUUAAAUGUUCUUUGUUAAGGUGAGCUGUGUAGCCAUCACACUCACUUUGUUAAACUGAGCUGUGUAGCCAUCUUUGUUAAGCUGAGCUGUGUAGCCAUCUUUGUUAAGGUGAGCUGUGUAGCCAUCUUUGAUAAGGUGAGCUGUGUAGCCAUCACACUCACUUUGUUAAGCUGAGCUGUGUAGCCAUCACACUCACUCUGUUAAGGUGAGCUGUGUAGCCAUUACACUCACUCUGUUAAGCUGAGCUGUGUAGCCAUCACANNNNNNNNNNCUGGAGGGCAGUGCUAUAUUUAUCCUCUCUGUUCCUGAACUGAGCUGGAGGGCAGUGCUAUAUUUAUCCUCUCUGUUCCUGAACUGAGCUGGAGGGCAGUGCUAUAUUUAUCCUCUCUGUUCCUGAACUGAGCUGGAGGGCAGUGCUAUAUUUAUCCUCUCUGUUCCUGAACUGAGCUGGAGGGCAGUGCUAUAUUUAUCCUCUCUGUUCCUGAACUGAGCUGGAGGGCAGUGCUAUAUUUAUCCUCUCUGUUCCUGAACUGAGCUGGAGGGCAGUGCUAUAUUUAUCCUCUCUGUUCCUGAACUGAGCUGAACCCUCCUGGAAGAUACUAAGACCAGUCAUGUCUGCCACACACACACACACACACACACAGGCUCUCCCAGGGAGCCAGACGUGCAUGAUGGAAGGAUGAUUUCCUGCCUCUCUCUCGUGUGUGGGUUGGUCGGUCUGUGUGGGUUGGUCGGUGUGUGUUCAAGUCGGUGGUUCUAUUUGCGUGCUCAUUAGUAGUACCCACCUGCUGUUGAAAUCGUCACCCAGGGUUUGUCAUCGUGGCAGGACGUCACAGUGGAAAAUAUGUCCAGUCAACUAUCCAUCCUCACGUGUGUUGUCAUAUCCCACUGUCUGAUUCUUCCAGGUUUCUGACUUAUCGCAUUUAGUUUUUCCCAGCUGUGUAUUUUGGGACUUUGUAUUGGUAAAACGGGAAUUCUUCUUUCGGGAAUUGGAGAGUCGGUUAUUAAUUUUAAAAAGUCACAGGUCACAGGUCACAGGUAGGGAUGAGUCAUUGUCUGAAAAGUGGAAAGCUAAGAAUCAUAGGAUGCUGUUUUUGUCGCCAUCGUCCUCAUCCUCUUCCUUCUCAUGGCUGAUAAAACCAGUGACAUGAUGACUUCCCAUCCAAACUGGAAAUGAAAACGUCUUUGUCAGUUUGUACUUUCCCCAUUGUUAAUGUUAGUUUCUGGAAUACAGCUGUUGUCUUCGCUACUCUUUUCAGAAGCUGUACGUUUAGUCGAAUUGCUGUUCUAUUAUGCAUUUACCAGACUAUAUCAAGUGUAAAUGUGUUGUGUUUGUGAAGUGUGUGAAAACGAUGCUUUUGUUUUCACACAUUAUUGCAAAAAUAUUUUUGCUUAAAUGUUCUUUGUUAAGGUGAGCUGUGUAGCCAUCACACUCACUUUGUUAAACUGAGCUGUGUAGCCAUCUUUGUUAAGCUGAGCUGUGUAGCCAUCUUUGUUAAGGUGAGCUGUGUAGCCAUCUUUGAUAAGGUGAGCUGUGUAGCCAUCACACUCACUUUGUUAAGCUGAGCUGUGUAGCCAUCACACUCACUCUGUUAAGGUGAGCUGUGUAGCCAUUACACUCACUCUGUUAAGCUGAGCUGUGUAGCCAUCACANNNNNNNNNNAAAGUCAGGCCCUACUCUACCCAGGCCCACAAAGUUCAGGCCCUACUCUACCCAGGCCCACAAAGUCAGGCCCUACUCUACCCAGGCCCACAAAGUCUGGCCCUACUCUACCCAGGCCCACAAAGUUCAGGCCCUACUCUACCCAGGCACACAAAGUCAGGCCCUACUCUACCCAGGCCCAAUUUGCUUUUGCCAAAUGAUAGGAAAUCAGAAAUAACUUCCUUCGUUAGUGUCCGUUAGGCACAGCUGCACAACAUAGCUCUUAAAGGGGCAGUGGCGUCUUUAAAAGGAAAAUGACAUACUUUGUAAUUAGAAUCCCCAAAAUAAAAUGUUGAGUGAAUAAGAAUGAGUAAUGAAUGAUAUGUAUUCAUAUUUAUAAUACGGUUGUUAGUAUUCUUAAUAAUGACAAUCUGGAUGUGUCCAAUGGGGUAAGUGCAGAUGGACAAACCCUAAUUAUGCAGCAUGUUAUUGGCUGAAGUUGAUCGUGCUUAUUGCUAAUAGCACAUCUGAUAAUAUAGGCCAUGCAUAGAAAUUGUAUUUUAGAUGGUGUCAGCAUCAUCUUUUAUUUGAAUACACUUUGAGGUGUAAUGUCCUUUCUAAAAAAAGUCACCAGAACUGAGCUUUUCACUCCUUCUACAUAUAAAUUAUCUCGACGAAGAUCCCGGACCCUCUAAGCAAGGGNNNNNNNNNNCCAUCUUUGUUAAGCUGAGCUGUGUAGCCCUCACACUCACUUUGUUAAGCU
rnacentral:lncRNA from 13 species